rnacentral:tRNA from 1 species
GGGGAUUUAGCUCAGUGGCAUAAGCACCUGCCUUGCAAGCAGGUGGUCGUACUGAUUUAAAAAACAAAAACCAAACCCCU